AUCUGUUUACAGUGGAAAGUCAAGAAUGAGACCACUGGAAGGCUAGCAAAAUAGGCCCAAUCCCCAAAUCCAAACCUUGGGCUAAGACAAAAUUAGGAGUCUGCUAUUAAUAGGAUCUUUUGGUGUCCUAGGCAGCCUCUCUCUAAGAGCAUUAGCUGUGCCUGGGUGUUAAUCUCUUGGCAUGAGUUUAGUGGAAAAUGUAAUCUCCUCUGGCAAAACUGCAAGAGCAAGCUUUAUGCGGUUAGCAAAAGUGAUCUGUGAUUGUCUGUCUUCUGAGGAUGCUACACAACGCCUGCACAGACAAGGAGUUGCGGAACCUUGCCUCCCGGCUGAAGGAUUGGUUUGGAGCUCUCCACGAGGAUGCGAACAGAGUCAUCAAGCCCACCAGCUCCAACACAGCCCAAGGCAGGUUUGACACUAGCAUCCUGCCCAUCUGCAAGGACUCCCUGGGCUGGAUGUUCAACAAGUUGGACAUGAACUAUGACCUCCUGCUUGACCC
rnacentral:lncRNA from 1 species